rnacentral:rRNA from 1 species
GAUUGAUUGUUUGAUCCUGGCUCAGGAUGAACGCUAGCGGCAGGCCUAAUACAUGCAAGUCGAACGAUAUUUUCCAGCUUGCUGGAAGAGAAAGUGGCGCACGGGUGCGUAACGCGUAUGCAACCUACCUUUAUCAGGGGGUAGCCCUAGAGAAAUCCGGAUUAAUACCGCAUAAAAUCACAGAAUAGCAUUAUUUAAUGAUCAUACAUUUAUGGGAUAAAGAUGGGCAUGCGUGUCAUUAGCUAGUUGGCGGGGUAACGGCCCACCCAAGGCGACGAUGACUAGGGGAUCUGAGAGGAUGACCCCCCACACUGGUACUGAGACACGGACCAGACUCCUACGGGAGGCAGCAGUAAGGAAUAUUGGUCAAUGGAGGCAACUCUGAACUAGCCAUGCCGCGUGCAGGAAGACUGCCCUAUGGGUUGUAAACUGCUUUUAUCCGGGAAUAAACCUCUGCUCGUGAGCAGAGCUGAAUGUACCGGAAGAAUAAGGAUCGGCUAACUCCGUGACAGCAGCCGCGGAAAUACGGAGGAUCCAAGCGUUAUCCGGAUUUAUUGGGGUUUAAAGGGGUGCGUAGGSSGGCCCUGUUAAGUUCAGGGGUGAAAGACGGUAGCUCAACUAUCGCAGUGCCUUUGAUACUGAUGGGGCCAAUGGACUAGAGGUAGGCGGAAUGAGACAAGUAGCGGUGAAAUGCAUAGAUAUGUCUCAGAACACCGAUUGCGAAGGCAGCUUACUAUGGUCUUAUUGACGCUGAGGCACGAAAGCGUGGGGAUCAAACAGGAUUACAUACCCUGGUAGUCCACGCCCUAAACGAUGAAACACUCGCUGUCCAGCGAUACACAGUCAGCGGCUAAGCGAAAGCGUUAAGUGUUCCACCUGGGGAUACGCCCGCAAGGGUGAAUCUCAAAGGAAUUGACGGGGGCCCGCACAAGCGGAGAGCAUGUGGUUUAAUUAAUGAUACGCGAGGAACCUUACCCGGGCUUGAAAGUUAGUGAAUGAUCUAGAGAUAGAUCAGUGAGCAAUCACACGAAACUAGGUGCUGCAUUGCUGUCGUCAGCUCGUGCCGUGAGGUCAUUGGGUUAAGUCCCGCUUAGCGCAACCCCUAUGUUUAGUUGCCAGCAUGUAAAGGUGGGGACUCUAAACAGCCUGCCCAUAACAAACAGAGAGGAAGGAGGGGACGACGUCAAGUCAUCAUGGCCCUUACGUCCUGGUAACACACGUGCUACAAUGGACGGUACAGAGGGCAGCUACAUAGCAAUAUGAUGCGAAUCAUCACAAAGCCGUUCACAGUUCGGAUUUGGGGUCUGCAACUCGACCCCAUGAAGUUGGUUUCGCUCGUAAUCGCGUAUUCAGCAAUGACGCGGUGAAUACGACCCGGGCCUUGUACACACCGACAGUCGUCAAGCCAUGGAAGUUGGGGGUACCUUAGUACUAAUA